CAAGGCUUCUUGUAAUCCCUCAAGGCUCAAACUGAAUCCGGCAGACACAUCUACACAUUCUGUGCACUGUUGCAUAUCUUCAGCAAAACACGUUGAAGUAUGAGUAUCAUCCUUGAUCCGUCCCUGGGAAAAUGUCAUUUACACCCCCUGGAAUUUGAAAGUGAUCCACUGCACAACUGAUGCCAAUAAGAUCAGCAACUACUGUCUAUGAACGUGGUGACCUGACUCCCCUUUCUCAUGUUUCCAGAAUGAAGUAUGUCAUUUAGCAGAAAUGGAAAUUCUAAGAAGUUGGCAUAUAGACACAGAGUGGUAUAAGAUGACUUGCCCAGGUCCCCAAGAAAAAAUUUUUUAUGCCCUUUCUCCAAAUUACAAGACCCAUAAUACCCUCAAUGUGCAGGAAUGAGGGAAGAUGCGGCAGUUGCAGGUUCUUACACCUGAAGUUCUUACCUCCCACAAAAGAAGAGUAAUAGCCAUGGUCAGGGCAAAACAGGGUUAACAGGACAUUGUUGGCCGGUUAAAGGGAGGACCUGUUGUGGACAUGGCCAAAAAAAUUAUCCAGAUUAUAUUCCUGGGUGGUUUGACUCUCUGCUUUGUGAAUAAACUUCCUGGU